rnacentral:rRNA from 1 species
AGUGAACGCUGGCGGUAGGCCUAACACAUGCAAGUCGAACGGCAGCACAGGAGAGCUUGCUCUCUGGGUGGCGAGUGGCGGACGGGUGAGGAAUACAUCGGAAUCUACCUUUUCGUGGGGGAUAACGUAGGGAAACUUACGCUAAUACCGCAUACGACCUACGGGUGAAAGUGGGGGACCGCAAGGCCUCACGCGAUUAGAUGAGCCGAUGUCCGAUUAGCCAGUUGGCGGGGUAAAGGCCCACCAAGGCGACGAUCGGUAGCUGGUCUGAGAGGAUGAUCAGCCACACUGGAACUGAGACACGGUCCAGACUCCUACGGGAGGCAGCAGUGGGGAAUAUUGGACAAUGGGCGCAAGCCUGAUCCAGCCAUACCGCGUGGGUGAAGAAGGCCUUCGGGUUGUAAAGCCCUUUUGUUGGGAAAGAAAUCCUGUCGAUUAAUACUCGGUGGGGAUGACGGUACCCAAAGAAUAAGCACCGGCUAACUUCGUGCCAGCCGCCGCAGUAACAC